rnacentral:rRNA from 1 species
GAUGAACGCUGGCGGCGUGCUUAACACAUGCAAGUCGAACGGAGUUUUAUCGACUAAAGCCUUCGGGUGGAAGAUGAUAAAACUUAGUGGCGGACGGGUGAGUAACGCGUGGGUAACCUACCUUAUACAGGGGGAUAACAGUGAGAAAUCAUUGCUAAUACCGCAUAAGACCCCAGUAUCGCAUGAUACAGAGGUAAAAGAUUUAUCAGUAUAAGAUGGACCCGCGUCCUAUUAGAUAGUUGGUGAGGUAAUGGCUCACCAAGUCGACGAUAGGUAGCCGAUCUGAGAGGAUGACCGGCCACAUUGGGACUGAGACACGGCCCAAACUCCUACGGGAGGCUGCAGUGGGGAAUAUUGGACAAUGGGGGCAACCCUGAUCCAGCGACGCCGCGUGAGUGAAGAAGUAUUUCGGUAUGUAAAGCUCUAUCAGCAGGGAAGAAAAUGACGGUACCUGACUAAGAAGCCCCGGCUAACUACGUGCCAGCAGCCGCGGUAAUACGUAGGGGGCAAGCGUUAUCCGGAUUUACUGGGUGUAAAGGGAGCGUAGACGGUUAUAUAAGUCUGAAGUGAAAACCCGGGGCUCAACCCUGGGACUGCUUUGGAAACUAUAUAACUAGAGUGUCGGAGAGGUAAGCGGAAUUCCUAGUGUAGCGGUGGAAUGCGUAGAUAUUAGGAGGAACACCAGCGGCGAAGGCGGCUUACUGGACGAUAACUGACGUUAAGGCUCGAAGGCGUGGUAGCAAACAGGAUUAGAUACCCUGGUAGUCCACGCAGUAAACGAUGAAUACUAGGUGUCGGGAGGGUGAACCUUUCGGUGCCGUCGCAAACGCAGUAAGUAUUCCACCUGGGGAGUACGUUCGCAAGAAUGAAACUCAAAGGAAUUGACGGGGACCCGCACAAGCGGUGGAGCAUGUGGUUUAAUUCGAAGCAACGCGAAGAACCUUACCAAAUCUUGACAUACCGAUGCCUAGACUAAGAAAUUAGUUGUUCCUUCGGGACAUUGGAUACAGGUGGUGCAUGGUUGUCGUCAGCUCGUGUCGUGAGAUGUUGGGUUAAGUCCCGCAACGAGCGCAACCCUUGUCCUUAGUAGCCAGCAGGUAGAGCUGGGCACUCUGGGGAGACUGCCAGGGAUAACCUGGAGGAAGGUGGGGACGACGUCAAAUCAUCAUGCCCCUUAUGAUUUGGGCUACACACGUGCUACAAUGGCGUAAACAAAGAGAAGCGAAACCGCGAGGUCAAGCAAAUCUCAAAAAUAACGUCUCAGUUCGGAUUGUAGUCUGCAACUCGACUACAUGAAGCUGGAAUCGCUAGUAAUCGCAGAUCAGAAUGCUGCGGUGAAUACGUUCCCGGGUCU